rnacentral:rRNA from 1 species
UACGUAGGGUGCGAGCGUUGUCCGGAGUUACUGGGCGUAAAGCGCACGUAGGCGGCUUUGUAAGUUAGAGGUGAAAGCCCGGGGCUCAACUCCGGAAUUGCCUUUAAGACUGCAUCGCUAGAAUUGUGGAGAGGUAAGUGGAAUUCCGAGUGUAGAGGUGAAAUUCGUAGAUAUUCGGAAGAACACCAGUGGCGAAGGCGACUUACUGGACACAUAUUGACGCUGAGGUGCGAAAGCGUGGGGAGCAAACAGG